GAUGAUGCCCGCACGGACGCCGUGGACAGCGUAGUUCGGGAUAUCCAGAACACUCAGUGCCUGCUCAACGUGGAACACCUGAGUGCCGGCUGCCCCCAUGUCACCUUGCAGUUUGCAGAUUCCAAGGGCGAUGUGGGGCUGGGCUUGGUGAAGGAAGGGCUGGUCAUGGUGGAGGUGCGCAAGGAGAAACAGUUCCAGAAAGUGGUACGUGAUGUGGAGAGGCGGCCCCAGCAUUGCGCCACCACCCUCACAGAGAAAGGGACUGUUCCACAAGCCAGGAAGGGAGCAGGGAAUCCACCAUCCUGCUGUUCCUGCUGGGGAAAGAUAAUGGAUUUGGAUCACAGAAUACCUGAAUGCCCAAGAGUCAGCCAAGAGCGCCAGGCUGAACCUGUGGCGCUAUGGAGACUUUCGAGCUGAUGAUGCAGACGAAUUUGGCUACAGCCGCUAAGGAGGGGAUCGGGUUUGGCCCCCAGCCCCGCUCACGCCAGUCCCUCUUCCUCUGCCGGGAGGGUGUUUUCAACUCCAAACCCCAGAGAGGGGUUGUAGAUUGGGUCCAGCUUUGCUUCAGUGUGUGGAAAUGUCUCAUGGGGUGGCAUC
rnacentral:sRNA from 1 species